rnacentral:lncRNA from 1 species
CAAAACUAAAGAAAAUAACCUUUUUUAAAUAAGAACAAAAUUGUCUACUGCUAAAUAAUAGAAACAAAACUAAAUUUGUCAAAAGUGACAAUUUUUUUUAAUUAAAAACAUUUUAAAGCUAAGGAAAAAGAAAAAUAACACAAAACUAUGUAAAACAAUACUGUUUUGUCUAAAAUCCUAAUUUAAAAUAAACAAAUACUAAUAUGCGAAAUCCUACUGUUUAGAUAAAAGGUCAAUUGAUCACUAGCAAAAAGAAUUACUUCAAAACCUAUUUUUAACUCAAGUAAUUGUUAAAAUACUAAUUUGAACAUAUUUCAUCAAACAUAAAUUUAAACUACUCAAAUUUGAAAUCCAAUUGCACCAACAGAAACUUCAAGAAAUUAUAAAACUAACGCAAAAAGAAUCAUUCAAUUUGGACUUAAACCUAAAAGAUAUUGAUUUUCGAAAAACAGAACUAUUCUGUUUUUGAGACAGAAACUAAAUAAAAUAAAAUAAAAUAAAAACUAAACGGGCAAGUGCUUCGUGGCCUAUUGCUAUUGGGCCAGAAGGCCGGCGUUCGAUAACUAAACAACGCUCGGGUGAUACUUAACAGAACCGUGCAUGCAUGUUUAAUAAAAAGAAACUGACGAACCGGUUCGAUCCAAACCAACUAAACCGUAAAUAAACCCGAUCUACUUAAAAAAACCUAAUGGUUUGAUGAUCUAAUGGAGGCAUAUAAUGAAGAUCUAAUGGAGGAGAGUGGCUCUGGUGCUCACUUCGGUGGACGUGGACUCCGGCGAGGUUGUCAGCGGCCGUGGCGGCUCGGGGAUGACGCAUGCGAGGCUUCCGGUGGUCCUCGGGGACGAGGAAGACCCCCGGGCUAUGCGGAAGACGACUAAGACCAUGUUGGUAGUCGGCGGUGAGCUCGGGGACGACGGUCUUGAGCGGGGCGAGCUCGACGGUGGCGGUGGCGGCCCGGUGGUUGAUGGGAGGGCGUUUCGGUGGCGCUGGAGCUCGGACGAGGGCACAGGGAGGUGCAAGAGAACUAGGGGAGGUCGGAGGUGGGCUCGAACGAUGACAUGGUGGUCGGUGGAGGUCGAGGGAGUGGCAAUGGCGCGACGGGUGUCUCGGAUUCCGGCGAGCAAGGGCGCGUCAAGGGAGAGGGCUUAGGGGCGGAAUCGAGCGAGGGAAAGGGGCUUUUAUAGCCCAGAGGCUUGGAGGAGGGGUCGGGGGUAGGGAUUCUUGAUCCCAAGAUAUCCGGGAUACGACGCCAGUUGAGUGAGUUCGGGCGUCGGUGGCUUGGCGUGAGGAGGAAGAAGACGGCGCCUUGGGCCCGGGGGCUACUGUCGGCGUUCUGGGAACGGGGGUCCCCAGAAUUGCCUGCCUGCAGCCCACGGCGUGGCUCUGCGAGCGGGCCCAUACGGCCCAUCUUCACCAACAAGUAUUCAAGACCCUCGCGAGGGGCCAAGCCUCGCGAGGGGGACGACACAAGACCUCCUCGGGAGCGGUCUCACCAGGCUGGCUCGCGAGGGACGGAGAGAUCAAGGCAAGGAAAACCUCACGAGGUUCUCAUGACGUGAGCCAUGACAACCAAGGCCAGGCGGGCGCCAGCGCGCACUGUGUCCUUGCUUCCUAUUUGGUGCUAAGGAGGCAAGCGCAGGCGAGGAGUACCGAGGCGUCAAGCAAAGGUUUCCAUAUCGGUGCAACGAGACCAAGAUCAACAGGACAACAAGAAGGAGGUCACCGUGGAGCCCAAGGCGGUGUCAGCACCAGAGCCUUUGGCAGGCGAAGACCACCUUUAGUCAGGAUAGCUUGUACUAGCUGUCCCUUUUGAAUUGGCCGUUGUUGGCUCCCUUCCCGCUCAAUAUUUGGGAAGAGGACCAGGGCCUCUAUAAAUAGGGCUAGCCACCAUAGUAGGAGGCAUCUCGUCUCGAACUCAUCGAGUUCAUCCUCACACCCACCAAGCACCAGAAUACCUCACCACAGGAGGCUGUUAUUCCCCUUGUACUGUUCAUCCUCAGCCCGAGAGGCAAUCCACCACACCACACUGGAGUAGGGUAUUACACCACAAUGGUGGCCCGAACCAGUAUAAAUCUUGUGUCUCUUGUGUUGCGAGUUCGUCGAGCUAGGCUUAGAGAUCCCAGUGAGGCUGAGGGCGUGAUUCGGUAGGGGGAGUGUUGUGCACUUUACCCACAAGAUUCGAUCCCUCUUUUUAGUUUCUCGCACUUCAGGGUGUUUGAGAACAAGAUGACCGAAACAUGGUCUUCCGAAGAGUUCCUCUGACCACUGUUCGAUGCUCAUCCAAUCCUACCAUAGUUCUACAUAUGCUAGCACCGUCCCAGCCAGAGUCACCAUUGAGGUGAACCAAGCCAGAGCCCAUGGUGACUUGCAGUUGCACAUGUAAGCUUCCGGGCAUGAAGUAUUCUUCCGUCUCUUUGAGCCUGGGUGGAGCUUUCCGCAUGAUAUCACGGCGCUUCUCCGGAAUCACUGAGUACUGGACGCACCAUUAUACCCUUCUUAACCAUUCUCCACCCAGAGGUAUAUUGAAUUCUUGUCUCAAGUCUUGAGGUCUCGAGGGCUUGAAGAUGCAGUCCUUGCAGAUGCCAUCAUGAAGUUGUCAUCAUUGACGUAGAGUCCUUCAUCUUCACACCACUCCAGAACACUCGUACCAACCCCGUCUACUAUAGCGUAGCAUUUAAAACUAAACAACGUCCCGAGCUUGGUAGCAGGGUGAUGGGUUCCUACCUCAUGCAUACUACUCAAUUACAAUAAUUCUAUACACUACUGGAGGGAAUAUGAAUGGUUACACUAAAUGCAAUAAAAACAUAGGUAUGAAUAACAUGGUCAAAGUGAACUUGCCUGGUAAGUUGAUGAAGAUAAUAGCACUCUCGGGAUAACUUGGUACUAUCACUCACUCCAAUGUAAAUCUGUUAAGUCAAACAGAGCAUUCACAUAAGCAAAACACUCUAGCAAUCAAUUAUAUCUAUCAUAUUAACACUCAAUCAAAAAAAUAAAAGAAACAAAGAAAUCCAUAAGAAAACCAAAUAGAAAUCAAGGAAAAACUAUAGAGUUUUUACUACAACCAACAAAAAACGGUUUUUGACCUAAUUAGACUUAACAGCAAAUAAAAUACUAAACUAAUAAAAUAACAGAAAAGAAAUAUGUUUUCAUUAGAAUAACAGAAAUAUUUUUUCAUAAACUUUUAGUAGCAAAAGGAAACAAAUAAAAAGCUUUUAUCAAACUCUAACUAUGACCUAUACAAGUUUUCUUACAAAACUAAAGAAAAUAACCUUUUUUAAAUAAGAACAAAAUUGUCUACUGCUAAAUAAUAGAAACAAAACUAAAUUUGUCAAAAGUGACAAUUUUUUUAAUUAAAAACAUUUAAAAACUAAGGAAAAAAGAAAAAUAACACAAAACUAUGUAAAACAAUACUGUUUUGUCUAAAAUCCUAAUUUAAAAUAAACAAAUACCAAUUUGCAAAAUCCUACUGUUUAGAUAAAAGGUCAAUUG